CGGCGGACGGGUGAGUAACGCGCGGGUAACCUGCCUCAUACAGGGGGAUAACAGUUAGAAAUGACUGCUAAUACCGCAUAAGACCACGGUACCGCAUGGUACAGUGGUAAAAACUCCGGUGGUAUGAGAUGGACCCGCGUCUGAUUAGGUAGUUGGUGGGGUAACGGCCUACCAAGCCGACGAUCAGUAGCCGACCUGAGAGGGUGACCGGCCACAUUGGGACUGAGACACGGCCCAG
rnacentral:rRNA from 1 species